GACGAACGCUGGCGGCGUGCCUAAUACAUGCAAGUCGAGCGAAGUUUUUCUGGUGCUUGCACUAGAAAAACUUAGCGGCGAACGGGUGAGUAACACGUAAAGAACCUGCCUCAUAGACUGGGACAACUAUUGGAAACGAUAGCUAAUACCGGAUAACAGCAUUAACUGCAUGGUUGAUGUUUAAAAGUUGGUUUUGCUAACACUAUGAGAUGGCUUUGCGGUGCAUUAGCUAGUUGGUGGGGUAAAGGCCUACCAAGGCGACGAUGCAUAGCCGACCUGAGAGGGUGAUCGGCCACACUGGGACUGAGACACGGCCCAGACUCCUACGGGAGGCAGCAGUAGGGAAUCUUCCGCAAUGGGCGAAAGCCUGACGGAGCAACGCCGCGUGAGUGAAGAAGGAUUUCGGUUCGUAAAGCUCUGUUGUUAGGGAAGAAUGAUUGUGUAGUAACUAUACGCAGUAGAGACG
rnacentral:rRNA from 1 species